CUCCCUGUGGCUCAGUUGGUAGAGCAUGGUGUUUACAAUGGUGUUUGCAACGCCAGGGUUGUGGGUUCGAUUCCCACAGGGGGC
rnacentral:tRNA from 1 species